UACGAAGGGGGCUAGCGUUGCUCGGAAUCACUGGGCGUAAAGGGUGCGUAGGUGGAUUUUUAAGUCAGGGGUGAAAUCCUGGAGCUCAACUCCAGAACUGCCUUUGAUACUGAAAGUCUUGAGUUCGGGAGAGGUAAGUGGAACUGCGAGUGUAGAGGUGAAAUUCGUAGAUAUUCGCAAGAACACCAGUGGCGAAGGCGGCUUACUGGCCCGAUACUGACACUGAGGCACGAAAGCGUGGGGAGCAAACAGG
rnacentral:rRNA from 1 species